AUUGAACGCUGGCGGCAUGCUUUACACAUGCAAGUCGAACGGUAACAGGCCGCAAGGUGCUGACGAGUGGCGAACGGGUGAGUAAUGCAUCGGAACGUGCCCAGUCGUGGGGGAUAACUACUCGAAAGAGUAGCUAAUACCGCAUACGAUCUAUGGAUGAAAGCGGGGGACCGUAAGGCCUCGCGCGAUUGGAGCGGCCGAUGUCAGAUUAGGUAGUUGGUGGGGUAAAGGCUCACCAAGCCAACGAUCUGUAGCUGGUCUGAGAGGACGACCAGCCACACUGGGACUUAGACACGGCCCAGACUCCUACGGGAGGCAGCAGUGGGGAGUUUUGGACAAUGGGCGCAAGCCUGAUCCAGCAAUGCCGCGUGCAGGAAGAAGGCCUUCGGGUUGUAAACUGCUUUUGUACGGAACGAAACGGCUCUGGUUAAUACCCGGGGCUAAUGACGGUACCGGAAGAAUAAGCACCGGCUAACUACGUG
rnacentral:rRNA from 1 species